GUGGGGGUAUUUCAGGGGUAGAAUCGUAGAUUGCAAUUGUCUUGUGUAAACAGGUAAUGAUCUAUUCGUCGCGGGUUCAAAUCCCGCUCCCCACU